rfam:Aspergillus clavatus NRRL 1 1099423829804 genomic scaffold, whole genome shotgun sequence.
GGCAAGGUGGCCGAGUGGUUAAGGCGGUGAGUCAUGUCUUUGCAUCCAACGUUCUCCUUGCAAUUUACUAAUUAAGUAUCCAGUUACGUUUAGGCCGUAAUGGGAAACCGCAUGGGUUCGAAUCCCAUCCUUGUCA